rnacentral:lncRNA from 1 species
GUGUCUAACUAGAUAACAUAAUAUAUAUUUGUAUAUGUGUAGGAUUAUAUACAAGAAUAUACUUUCGUGAUUGGUGCAUAUUGUAGUCGCGUAAUUCUGAGUUAUUCGACUAUGUCUAUGUGUUAGGUUUUACCGAUAACUUUAACGCGUAAAUCUAGAUAUUGUUUAGAUCUAUUUGAAAAUGAUUGUGUGCAAUUUUUCUGCUCUUUCAUUUUUUUUAUGCCCUCGCUAUCAUUGGUCUUUCUUAUUUAUUUAUUUAAAAAAGCAUCAUCAGUUUUGUAGAUGAAUGCAUCAAUCUGUUAAGAAUAUUCAUUUUACCUUGUGAUGUGUAUUGCUGCUGUAACAUUUGCUACAUGACUUAGUAUUUUAUGAUGCAUCUUUUACAAUGUUGAAUUCAGUCUAUUUGAAGACACUCUAGUAUAUAGGCAACCGCUAACACCUUGCUAUUUGACUUGAUCUGUCAUAGAAGGUUUGUAUAUUUUGUGUAACUUGAGUGAUGCGCUGAGACUGUAUAUGAACAUCAUAUAUUGAGAAGAUAAGGUUUUUGCCUAUGUAUUAUUAGCUGAUUAAUGCAUAUUGCAGUUUUCGUUCUUGUUGCAAUAUUGCCCGUUUACAUGUUAUUUGGCUUUUAUCAAUUUUGGUAUCCAUACCAAAAGACCCCUGCUGCACCAAGUUUGAAUUGUGUAGUUAAUGACAGUGAAAUUUCUCAUUUUUGUCUUCUAAGUAUAUGAUGAACGCUUUACUCAGGGUGAAUUGAUACAAUCUUGAAUUUACUAAACAAAUUAGUUUAAUAUUCAUCGGCCUUAUUGGUUAAGCAUUAAAAUAUCUUAAUAUUUUCCAUCUGUCCCUUGUUUCUAGUAUGAGGAUUGAGGCAAUGUAGGGGUGUAACAUUAUUUCAAUUUGGCGGACUUUAUAGUGGAAUAGCAAAUCUAGCUCUGAACUCUGUUGGCAUUGUUGACUGUUAAUUGAGUUGAACAUAACGUGACUAGGAUGAAACAGGCGGACUUUAUAGUGGAAUAUCAAAUCUAGCUCUGAACUCUGUUGGCAUUGUUGACUGUUAAUUGAGUUGAACAUAACAUGACUAGGAUGAAACAAAUCUUUUUGAUUGAAAACCUAACCUACAUUUGUUAGUGUUAUGAUUGAUUGCUUAUGUACACAAAGACCGUCUUAUCUUGGGCAAAUAUGAGCUUUUAUUUGCAGAGUUUUGCUGUGUUUUGUGAUGAUAGCUCAUUUAUGGCGCAAUUUAAGCCCUUAUGCUCCGAAAAGCUUGGGGAGGGCGCUUCACCUUGCUUAAUGUGCGCUGCAG